GAGUUUGAUCCUGGCUCAGAACGAACGCUGGCGGCAGGCCUAACACAUGCAAGUCGAGCGCGAAAGUCCUUCGGGGCAAGUAGAGCGGCGGACGGGUGAGUAAUGCUUGGGAAUCUACCUAGUAGUGGGGGAUAACGUGUGGAAACGCACGCUAAUACCGCGUACGUCCUACGGGAGAAAGCAGGGGAUCUUCGGACCUUGUGCUAUUGGAUGAGCCUAUGUCGGAUUAGUUAGUUGGUGAGGUAAUGGCUUACCAAGACUACAAUCCGUAGCUGGUCUGAGAGGAUGAUCCCCCACACUGGUACUGAGACACGGACCAGACUCCUACGGGAGGCAGCAGUGAGGAAUAUUGGUCAAUGGACGCAAGUCUGAACCAGCCAUGCCGCGUGCAGGAUGAAUGCCCUAUGGGUUGUAAACUGCUUUUAUAUAGGAAGAAACCUUUUUAUUUAUAAAAAGCUGACGGUACUAUAAGAAUAAGCAUCGGCUAACUCCGUGCCAGCAGCCGCGGUAAUACGGAGGAUGCAAGCGUUAUCCGGAUUUAUUGGGUUUAAAGGGUUCGUAGGCGGGGAUGUAAGUCAGUGGUGAAAGCCUGCAGCUUAACUGUAGAAUUGCCAUUGAAACUACAUCUCUUGAAUAUAUAUGAAGUAGGCGGAAUGUGUCAUGUAGCGGUGAAAUGCACAGAUAUGACGCAGAACACCGAUAGCGAAGGCAGCUUACUAAUGUAUUAUUGACGCUGAUGAACGAAAGCGUGGGUAGCGAACAGGAUUAGAUACCCUGGUAGUCCACGCCGUAAACGAUGAUUACUCGAUAUUAGCUCUGCUAGUGUCUAAGCGAAAGUGAUAAGUAAUCCACCUGGGGAGUACGAUCGCAAGAUUGAAACUCAAAGGAAUUGACGGGGGCCCGCACAAGCGGUGGAGCAUGUGGUUUAAUUCGAUGAUACGCGAGGAACCUUACCUAGGCUUAAAUGUGACCGGACAAGCUGUGAAAACAGCCUUUCUUCGGACUGGUCUCAAGGUGCUGCAUGGUUGUCGUCAGCUCGUGCUGUGAGGUGUCGGGUUAAGUCCCAUAACGAGCGCAACCCUUAUCUUUAGUUGCCAGCAUUAAGUUGGGCACUCUAAAGAGACUGCCGGUGUCAAACUGGAGGAAGGUGGGGAUGACGUCAAGUCCUCAUGGCCCUUAUACCUAGGGCUACACACGUGCUACAAUGGUAAAUACAGAGGGCAGCGAGCCAGCGAGGUGAAGCGAAUCCCAAAAUUAUGUCUCAGUCCGGAUUGGAGUCUGCAACUCGACUCCAUGAAGUUGGAAUCGCUAGUAAUCGCGGAUCAGCAUGCCGCGGUGAAUAUGUUCCCGGGCCUUGUACACACCGCCCGUCACACCACGAGAGUUGAUUAUACCUUAAGGCAAGGUUUUAAACCCUUGACCACGGUAUAGUCAGCGACUGGGGUGAAGUCGUAACAAGGUAACC
rnacentral:rRNA from 1 species